CUGAAGAGUCCCACAACAGGACGAAACGGCCGUC
rnacentral:hammerhead_ribozyme from 1 species